rnacentral:sRNA from 1 species
CCCACGCCACUAUGCUAUCUCUAACUCUGCCAUCCAGACCGAGCAAACGUACUUAAGACCUUUGUGUAAGAUCAGAAAAUCAUAAGACAGCAUUAAAAGUACUAUACAGGAGGAGAUGGAACAAGAUGGCCAAAUAGAAGCCUCCAGCAAUCAUCUCCCCCAAAGGAAUUGAACAACUAUCAAAACAAAAUUGAACAACUAUCUAAACAAAAAAAGUACCUUCAUAAAAAGCAAAAAUCAGACUGCUUUUUGCCUUCUGCCAUGAUUGUGAGGCCUCCCCAGCCACGUGAAACCCUUGGCAGGUCACCUUGUUCUAGCAGAUAGAAACUGAAUCAAUAUGGGAAGAGCCAGAAUUUGGACAAGGUUCACCAAACAUUCACACUGAUGCCAGGUGGGCCAAGAAAAAGGGAAUGUCCUGCCUCUGAGACAUAUGAAGGAGGGUCUUUUCAUAUUAAAUUGUUUUCCUGGCAGCACCUGAACCAAAGGAUCAGACUUAAAAUAAGUCUUUUUCCAAUGUUAUGUUGAAAUUGGAUACGACAUUUCUCACAAAACUUCUAAGUCAAACAGUGAUGAGAAACUACUGCCUAAAAGUGGGCCUACAUCAAAUCAUUAUGUUCUCGUACCAAGAUGUCUUCUGACUGAGGAAGCUAAGAAUACGGCUCCUUGUUCUCACCAGUGGACUCUUCCUCAGCAGCAGGGGCUCCCUUCCCCACUACCCAUGAGGGAGAGGGUGGCAGUUCAACAGGAAAACGUUGAUAUUAUGGAUUCCCAUAAGGAUUCAUGUCUUCUAUUCACUUUAAUGAACAGUUGUAGGGCAACAAUUCUAGAAGAGUUCCAAUUCUCAUCAGGAGAAUGGACAAGGUGGAGAAGCAGAGAAAAUGCAAUGAGUAGAAUGUCUAAGUCAUCACUUUGGAAUUGACUGAACAUAAAUAAAAAUGAGAAAGAUACGUAAAAAAGAAGGGAAUGGAUGCCACAGCCCCCAUUUUGCCAACGAGGCAGCUGAGGUUCCCAGAGGCUCAAUACCAGCACCAUGGGCGGCAGCACGCAAGGCAAACACAGCCGGAGGAUUUUAAUGCCUUUUGUAAAGACCUGCCUAAUGGUUCUGCCUUCAGUGCAGACAAUAUGGAAGAGUGUGACAGAUGUUAUCAUUGCUCCAUUGUGUACGAGCGUAGGACGAUGCUUCUCUUCUGUCAGCCUGCA